rnacentral:rRNA from 1 species
GCGACCCCAGGACGGGCGAGGCCACCCGCCGAGUUUAAGCAUAUCGAUAAGCGGAGGAGAAG